AUACGUAGGUGGCGAGCGUUGUCCGGAAUUACUGGGCGUAAAGCGCGCGUAGACGGCUUAGUAAGUCAGAUGUGAAAGACCCGGGCUCAACCUGGGGGCGGCAUCUGAGACUGCGUAGCUUGAGUGCAGGAGAGGCAAGUGGAAUUCCCAGUGUAGCAGUGAAAUGCGUAGAGAUUGGGAGGAACACCAGUGGCGAAGGCGACUUGCUGGACUGUAACUGACGUUGAGGCGCGAAAGCUAGGGGAGCAAACGGGAUUAGAUACCCCGGUAGUCCUAGCCGUAAACGAUGGGUACUAGGUGUGGGAGGUAUCGACCCCUUCCGUGCCGCAGUGAACGCAAUAAGUACCCCGCCUGGGGAGUACGGCCGCAAGGUUGAA
rnacentral:rRNA from 1 species